rnacentral:rRNA from 1 species
GGUGGACCUACCUAUAAGACUGGGACAACUUCGGGAAACCGGAGCUAAUACCGGAUAAGAUAUCGAACCGCAUGGUUCGAUAGUGAAAGAUGGUUUUGCUAUCACUUAUAGAUGGACCCGCGCCGUAUUAGCUAGUUGGUGAGGUAACGGCUCACCAAGGCAACGAUACGUAGCCGACCUGAGAGGGUGAUCGGCCACACUGGAACUGAGACACGGUCCAGACUCCUACGGGAGGCAGCAGC